rnacentral:lncRNA from 1 species
AGAGGCGGCUGCCGUUGCCCUGGUAACUUCACCUGAUCCGGGGCGGUAUCUAGGGUUUCAGAUCACAUGCCUCCAAGUUAAUGUCCACAUCUGAAACAUCAACUCCUCUACUGAGUUAACAAAUCAGUGGGUCAUUCUUCAAAGAUGAUGCCCUUUGCUCAAGAGUGAACGGGGAAGAAGGAGCUCAUGUGUGUGAGGAGGAUGCAAGGAUCUGUGGGAUCCAGACAACACCCUUGUGCCUUGCUAGGAGUAGAGGAGAUGGGCUAGCUAUGCAAAGAGCAGACGCCGGGAAAGUACCGCACUCCCAAAGUGUGUGGAGGCAAUCGCUUUGUUUUGGUCCGGCAGGAAAGAUUAAAAUGAAAAGGUGGAUAAUGCGGAUGAUGAUGGUCUUCGCGCAGGAGGAUGCUCCAGGAGAACUGUCUGCAGGAACGGAAUGGCCUUGUUGCUUUCUCUCUCAGAUAAAAUGUAUAGCACACGGUUAAAAAUGAUAUGGUACACAAGGAAAUAAAAUACAGAGGGAGAGAGAGAGAGCAGAAGCCGAAGACUGUCCAGACACAUGGGCGAUACAGACGCUGGAACUCUGCCGGGCAGCAACAGAGGGGAUACUGAGUAAAGGUCAGACAGGAGGAGAGUGAGGCUGAAUCUGUAGCCGGAGACACAGGAAGACAACAACGAUGAGCUGUGGCCCAGUGGACAUGGAUGUUGACCUGUGAUCGUCAUCGUCUUCACCACCCUCAUGCCGACCAGAAGAGAGAAGUGUGCGCAGAAGGAAGUACAGAAUGUCAGAGGCAUAAAAGCAAAGACAGAGUCAGAGAAGCAGAGAGGACUUUAAAGGAUGUAGGGACGCUGCAUUAUCUAGGAUAAGAUUAUUAACAUCAAAUUUUGAUGCAGGUCCACAAAUAUUAUAAUUUCAAGGGUAAUUAUGGAAUGAGUCACAAAUGCUUAUAAUAGAAGGGAAAAUGAAUAAUUGAAAUAAAAGCAAUUAAGUGUGUAGAGAG